GCCUGGAUGGCUCAGUAGGUUAAGCAUCUGACUUUGGCUCAGGUCACGAUCUCGUUGUUAGUGAGUUUGAGCCCCACAUCAGGCU
rnacentral:tRNA from 1 species